rnacentral:rRNA from 1 species
CAGCAGCCACGGUAAUACGAAGGGGGCUAGCGUUACUCGGAAUUACUGGGCGUAAAGGGCGCGUAGGCGGCGCUCCAAGUUAGGCGUGAAAGUCCUGGGCUCAACCUGGGAACUGCGCUUAAGACUGGAGUGCUUGAGGAUGGAAGAGGGUUGUGGAAUUCCCAGUGUAGAGGUGAAAUUCGUAGAUAUUGGGAAGAACACCGGUGGCGAAGGCGGCAACCUGGUCCAUUACUGACGCUGAGGCGCGACAGCGUGGGGAGCAAACAGGAUUAGAUACCCCAGUAGUCCCUGUCUCUUAUAA